CGCAGAGUGACGCCCCUCCCGGGGCGGUAAUGCGGCGGCACGGUCACAAGCCCGU
rnacentral:ribozyme from 1 species